rnacentral:rRNA from 1 species
CCCGGUUGAUCCCGCCAAGAGUCAUAUGUUUGUCUCAAAGAUUAAGCCAUGCAUGUGUAAGUAUGAACUAUUUCGCAUCGCGGAAACCGCGAAUGGCUCAUUAAAUCAGUUAUAGUUUGUUUGAUGGUACGUGCUACCGGAUAACCGUAGUAAUUCUAGAGCUAAUACGCGCAACAAACCCCACUUCCUAAGGGAUGCAUUUAUUAGAUAAAAGGUCGACGCGGGCUUUGCCCGCCGCCCGAUGAUUCAUGAUAACUCGACGGAUCGCGACGCCCUCGUCGCCGGCGACGAUCAUUCAAAUUUCUGCCCUAUCAACUUUCGAUGGUAGGAUAGGGGCCUACCAUGGUGGUGACGGGUGACGGAGAAUUAGGGUUCGAUUCCGGAGAGGGAGCCCGAGAAACGGCUACCACAUCCAAGGAAGGCAAAAAGCAGCGCAAAAAUUACCCAAUCCUCGACACCGGGAGGUAGUGACAAUAAAUAACAAUACCGGCUCUUCGAAGUCCGGUAAUUGAAUGAGUACACCUAAAUCCCUUUAACGAGGAUCCAUUGAGGGCAAGUCCGGUGCCGCCAGCCGUGGUAAUUCCAGCCCAAUAGCGAUAUUUAAGUUGUUGCGCUAAAAAAGCUCGAAGUUGGACUUUGGGAUCGGGUCGGUCGGUCCGGCCAUGGCAGUAACCGGCCGUCCCAUCCCUUCGUUUCGGCGGCGAUGCGUUCGGCCUUAAUCGGUCGGGUCGUGGCCUCCCAAGGCUGUUAUUUUGAAGAAAUUAGAGUGUUCAAAAGCAAGCCCACGCCCGGAUACAUUAGCAUGGGAUAACAUCACGAUUUCGGUCCUAUUGUGUUGGCCUUCUGGAUCGGAGUAAUGAUUAAGAGGGACAAAUGGGGCAUUCAGAUUUCAUAGUCGAGGUGAAAUUUUUGGAUUUAUGAAAGACUAACCACCGCGAAAAGCAUUUGCCAAGGAUGUUUUCAUUAAUCAAGAACGAAAAGUUGGGGGGCUCAAGACCAUCGAUACCGCCCUAGUCUCAACCAUAAACGAUGCCCACCGUGGAUCGGCGGAUGUUGUUUUAGACUCUCGCCGGCACCUUAUGAGAAAUCAAAGUCUUUGGGUUCGGGGGGGAGUAUGGUCGCAAGGUGAAACUUAAAGGAAUUGACGGAAGGGCACCACCAGAGGGAGGAGCUCGCGGCUUAAUUUGACUCAACACGGGAAACUUACCGUGUCCGCACAUAGCAAGGAUUGAUGAUCGAGAGCUCUUUUCUUGAUUCUAUGGGUGGUGGUGCAUGGUCGUUUUAGUUGGUGGAGCGAUUUGUCCGGUUAAUUCGAUAACUAACGAGACCUCACCGCUAACUAGCUACGCGGAGGCAUCCCCUCCGCCAGCUUCUUAGAGGGACUAUGGCCGUUUAGGGCCACGGAAGUUUGAGGCAAUAAUGUGUCUGUGAUGCCCUUAGAUGUUCUCGUCGCGACGACGCUACAUCGAUGUAUUCAACGAAGUUCAUAGCCUUGGCCGACUGUGCCCGUAAUCUUUUGAAAAUUUCAUCGUGAUGGGGAUAGAUCAUUGCAAUUGUUGGUCUUCAACGAGGAAUUUUAGUAAGCCGAAGUCAUCACCGCUGACUACGCCCCCGCCCUUUGUACACACCGCCCGCCGCUUCCUACCGAUUGAAUGGUCCGUGAAGUGUUCGGAUCGAGGCGACGGGGGGUCGCCGCCGCCGACGACGUCGCGAGAAGUCCACCGAACCUUAUCAUUUAGAGGAAGGAGAAGUCGUAACAAGGUUUCCGUAGGUGAACCCGCGGAAG